rnacentral:rRNA from 1 species
UACGAAGGGGGCUAGCGUUGCUCGGAAUCACUGGGCGUAAAGCGCACGUAGGCGGAUUGCUAAGUCAGGGGUGAAAUCCUGGGGCUCAACUCCAGAACUGCCUUUGAUACUGGCGACCUUGAGUCCGGGAGAGGUGAGUGGAACUGCGAGUGUAGAGGUGAAAUUCGUAGAUAUUCGCAAGAACACCAGUGGCGAAGGCGGCUCACUGGCCCGGUACUGACGCUGAGGUGCGAAAGCGUGGGGAGCAAACAGG